UAGGUGACUCAAGACAUCUGUGCUGCC
rnacentral:piRNA from 1 species